UACGUGAGGGGCAAACGUUGUUCGGUGUCACUGGGCUUAAAGGGCGCGUAGGCGGUCGUGCAAGUAAGGUGUGAAAUCCCCUGGCUUACCCAGGGAAGGGCGCCUUAAACUGCACGGCUUGAGUGUCAGAGAGGUGGGAGGAACUCCAGGUGUAGCGGUGAAAUGCGUAGAUAUCUGGGGGAAGGCCGGCGGCGAAGGCGUCCCACUGGCUGACUACUGACGCUGAGGCGCGAAAGCGUGGGGAGCAAACAGG
rnacentral:rRNA from 1 species